CAAAAACAUCUCUUCUUGCUAGUUUUUUAAGUAUGGCCUGCCCGCUGACUUUGAGUUGAAGGGCCGCGGUAUUUUGACCGUGCAAAGGUAGCAUAGUCAUUAGUUCUUUAAUUGUGAUCUGGUAUGAAUGGCUUGACGAGACAUGAGCUGUCUUAGGGGUAUUAGAGUUUGGUUGAAAUUGGAGUUUGAGUUAAAAUUCUUAGAUGUUUUUAUGGGACGAGAAGACCCUAUAGAGUUUGACAUUUGAUUUGUUUUGUUUGGUUUGUUUUGAUUUUAAAAAUUUAUUUAAUUGUUUUGUUGGGGUGAUGGGAGGAAUUUAUUUAACUCCUCUUUUUGAUGUAUAUAUUUAUUUAUGUUUGUUUGAUCCAUUUAUUUUGAUUAUAAGAUUAAAUUACCUU
rnacentral:rRNA from 1 species